rnacentral:rRNA from 1 species
GAUGAACGCUGGCGGCGUGCCUAAUACAUGCAAGUCGAGCGAACAGACGAGGAGCUUGCUCCUCUGACGUUAGCGGCGGACGGGUGAGUAACACGUGGAUAACCUACCUAUAAGACUGGGAUAACUUCGGGAAACCGGAGCUAAUACUGGAUAAUAUAUUGAACCGCAUGGUUCAAUAGUGAAAGACGGUUUUGCUGUCACUUUUAGAUGGAUCCGCGCCGCAUUAGCUAGUUGGUAAGGUAACGGCUUACCAAGGCAACGAUGCGUAGCCGACCUGAGAGGGUGAUCGGCCACACUGGAACUGAGACACGGUCCAGACUCCUACGGGAGGCAGCAGUAGGGAAUCUUCCGCAAUGGGCGAAAGCCUGACGGAGCAACGCCGCGUGAGUGAUGAAGGUCUUCGGAUCGUAAAACUCUGUUAUUAGGGAAGAACAAAUGUGUAAGUAACUAUGCACGUCUUGACGGUACCUAAUCAGAAAGCCACGGCUAACUACGUG